rnacentral:rRNA from 1 species
CCUACGGGGUGCAGCAGUGAGGAAUAUUGGUCAAUGGACGGAAGUCUGAACCAGCCAUGCCGCGUGCAGGAAGACGGCUCUAUGAGUUGUAAACUGCUUUUGUACAAGGGUAAACCUGAAUACGUGUAUUCAGCAGACAGUACUUUACGAAUAAGGAUCGGCUAACUCCGUGCCAGCAGCCGCGGUAAUACGGAGGAUCCCAGCGUUAUCCGGAUUUGUUGGGUGUAAUGGGUGUGUAGGCGGAUUGGUAAGUUAGAUGUGAAAUGUCCGGGCUUAACUCGGGACCUGCCUCUGAUACUGUUGAUCUAGAGAGCAGGUGAGGUAGGCGGAAUGGAGGGUGUAGCGGUGAAAUGCUUAGAGAUCAUACAGAACACCGAUUGCGAAGGCAGCUUACCAAUCUAUAUCUGACGCUGAGGCACGAAAGCGUGGGGAGCAAACAGGAUUAGAUACCCUUGUAGUC